UACGUAGGGGGCUAGCGUUGUCCGGAUUUAUUGGGCGUAAAGAGCGUGUAGGCGGUUCGGUAAGUCUGUCGUGAAAUCCUGGGGCUCAACCUCGGGCGUGCGAUGGAUACUGCCGGGCUAGAGGGUGGUAGAGGCGAGUGGAAUUCCCGGUGUAGCGGUGAAAUGCGCAGAUAUCGGGAGGAACACCAGUAGCGAAGGCGGCUCGCUGGGCCACACCUGACGCUGAGACGCGAAAGCUAGGGGAGCGAACAGG
rnacentral:rRNA from 1 species